rnacentral:lncRNA from 1 species
GCUUUGGUUUUGCUAUGCUUGGCAUCUUUUUCGAGAGUGAUAAGAAUGUGGAUUUGAGACUGUGUGAGUCUAAUGAAGUUCGGGCAUCUUUAUUCCCAUUCGCGUAACCAACAUGCCGGCCUGAAUCCACGCUCAUUCCAUGUGCUACCUUUCAUCUCAUUCACCACGUCGUCUUGAGCAUGUAGCACUUUUAUGGUGAGUUUUAUUUAUAAUAGUUAAAAUUCACACAGAAUAGUUUACAAACAAACACUUGUGUGACGUGU